CAAAGAAAGAACUCAGGAGUAGGCUGGUUUUGUGCAAGUGUGGCAAGAAAUCUAUGAAGAGGAAGUGAAAAGAAGACAGAAUCACCUGGAUUCAGUUUCACGCCGCACACCCUCUACUUUGGAUGCUGUCAGUUUUUGAACAGGAAUGGUGCAAUGAACAUGGAAGAGUAAGAGCAUACGCAGAGUCAUACUCAGACACUGCAGAGGCCCCAAGAUGAACCAACACCUAAUAAAUAUUUAAAACAAACACUGGGCAAACCACAUAGGAUUUUAACAAUGCCACAAUCCUCGCCCUAGAGGGACACAGACUUUUUUUUCCUAUCUCUUCAUCUAAGCAACCAGUCCAAACCACAGUCAAGACACAGCGUUGCUACAAGCAGACACACAGGUAUGAGCUGUUUUCUCCCUCCCGUCUAAAUAUUGGAAAUGUUUCUUCAGACUCUAAAGUGAAUUCCAUUACAUUUGUUCAUGGGAUGCUCAAUAGACUGGUUGGAAGCUAAUCUUUACAUUGCACGAAGGGGUACAGUCUGGAAGAAACAAUUUUCUUAUAUUGGAGGAUAUAUAUACAAGAUGGACUACUUAAAGGUCAUACCCAUAUCUUUAAUUUUUUUUAAAGCUGAUGAAAGAGAAAUGGCAUAGCACAACCACGUCUCACUCUACUAAUUAGGUAAAGAGCAAGCAGCUUGUGUUGGUCUGUUUGUUUUUUCUAUUUGGCUCCUGUCUACUGAAAGUUGCAUAUCAACCCAGAGUCAUCCUUCACAAAGCCUGCCAGUGGAUGUACUUUAGAUUGCUCCCAAAAGUGCAUGCAUCCCACUGAGAAUUCUCUGCUGGAGCAGUGACACCCACCAGCAGCAAAAGACACCAGAAGAUGACAGUUAUCUUGACACUCGCAGGCGCAGAGGCUGGUAUAGACUUGUGUUUACUGUGAGGUUCAUUUUUCUCCUUUCUAUGCCUUGCCUCUCCCUUUGCUUCAGCUCUCUGUGCUUGCAGGCUCUGUAUGUUGACUGCAAGGGUGAAAGCCCUAGCACAGAGGGAGAGCGACUUCUCAACAGCUGGCCAGAUCUAUUGCACUUGGCUCACGAGAAACCACAAUAAAUAUAAAUCUCACUUGCUGUUUUCUGAGCAAAGUAUA